AUGCUUAAAAUUGAUCUGGCAAAAGCUUUUGAUCGUCUUGAGUGGAAUUUCAUUAUAUCGGCUUUAACGCGAAAAGGGUUGCAUAGUCAUUUCAUUCAUCUCAUCCAUGCAUGCAUAGCUACUCCUGUUUUCUCUGUUGUCAUUAAUGGUCAAUCUUAUGCGAGAUUCAGAAGUAGUAGAGGUAUAAGACAAGGAUGCCCUCUUUCACCUUAUUUGUUUGUCCUUGCCAUAAAUGAGCUCUCAAUAUCCUUGCAAGAAGCCAUGACAGCCAACCACUUGUCAGGUAUAUCUCUUGGACCUUAUUGCCCCCCAAUCCAUUCUCUCAUGUUUGCUGAUGAUCUCCUUGUUUGUGGUCUGGCCACGAUAGAGGAAGCUAAUACU
rnacentral:rRNA from 1 species